UACGAAGGGGGCUAGCGUUGCUCGGAAUCACUGGGCGUAAAGGGUGCGUAGGCGGGUUUUUAAGUCAGGGGUGAAAUCCUGGAGCUCAACUCCAGAACUGCCUUUGAUACUGAAGAUCUUGAGUCCGGGAGAGGUGAGUGGAACUGCGAGUGUAGAGGUGAAAUUCGUAGAUAUUCGCAGGAACACCAGUGGCGAAGGCGGCUCACUGGCCCGGUACUGACGCUGAGGCACGAAAGCGUGGGGAGCAAACAGG
rnacentral:rRNA from 1 species